AUGCGUGUGAAGCCCCAGGGCCUGGUGGUGACUUCCAGUGCUGUGUGCAGUUCUCCUGACUACCUCCGGGAGCCCAAGUACUAUCCCAGCGGCCCCCCUACCCCCCGGCCCUUGCUUCCCACCCGGCCCCCUGCCAGCCCACCUGACAAGGCCUUCACCCACACCUUCUCCGAGAACCCGCGCCCACCCCCACGCCGGGACCCCAGCACCCGGCGCCCACCAGUCCUUGCCAAGGGGGACAGCCCGCUGCCUCCUCGGACAGCCCAUCCAGUCUCACAGGCCCACUGCCCCACAUCUGCUGAAGACGGCAGCAGCUCCCGACGUCUCUGGGACAACGGGCGGGUGAACCUGCGUCCAGUGGUGCAGCUGAUUGACAUCAUGAAGGACCUGACUCGGCUCUCUCAGGACCUACAGCACAGCGGUGUGCACCUGGACUGUGGUGGGCUCCGGCUUAGCCGCCCACCCGCUCCGCCCCCUGGUGACCUGCAGUAUAGCUUUUUCUCCUCCCCCAGUCUAGCCAACAGCAUCCGAAGCCCUGAGGAGCGGGCCACCCCCCACGCCAAGUCUGAGCGGCCCAGCCACCCCCUCUACGAGCCUGAGCCUGAGCCCAGGGACAGUCCUCAGCCCAGCCAAGGCCAUAGUCCCACAGCCACAGCCUCAGCCACUGGUCUGCCCCCAGAGCCUGAGCCAGACGGUCCUGAUUACUCAGAACUCGCUGACGCCGACAUCCUUAGUGAGCUGGCCUCUCUUACUUGCCCUGAGGCCCAGCUGCUGGAGGCCCAGGCCCUUGAGCCACCAUCUCCUGAGCCAGAGCCUCAGCUCCUGGACCCCCAGCCCCGCUUCCUGGACCCACAGGCACUGGAGCCACUUGGGGAAGCUUUGGAGCUGCCGCCCCUGCAACCUCUUGCUGAUCCUCUGGGGCUGCCAAGCCUGGCUCUUCAGGCCCUAGAUACCUUGCCUGACUCCCUGGAGUCACAGCUGCUUGACCCUCAGGGACUUGACCCCCUGCCCAAAUUGCUUGAUGUCCCUGGCCGUCAUCUGGAGCCUCAGCAGCCCCUAGGGCCCUGCCCACUCGCCGAGCCCUUGCGCCUGGACUUGUGCUCACCCCAUGGCCCCCCUGGGCCGGAGGGUCUCCCCAAGUACGCCUUGCGGCGCACUGAUAGGCCAAAGAUUCUGUGUCGCCGGCGAAAAGCCGGUCGGGGGCGUAAGGCAGACACUGGACCUGAGGGCCGAUUGCUGCCCCUACCUAUGCCCACAGGGCUGGCAGCCGCCCUGGCUGAGCCUCCACCACCACCGCCUCCACCUCCUCCUCCUGCCCUGCCAGGCCCGGGCCCAGUCCCAGAGCUGGAGCCAGAAUCUUCCCAGACCCCAGUGGUUCCUACUCGCAAAAGCAAGUGCCGGGGUGUGCGGCGCAUGGUGGUGAAGAUGGCCAAGAUCCCUGUAUCACUGGGACGGCGGAACAAGACCACGUACAAGGUGUCGUCCUUGAGCAGUAGCCUGAGCGUGGAGGGCAAGGAGCUGGGCUUGCGUGUAUCUGCAGAGCCCACCCCACUGCUGAAGAUGAAGAACAAUGGACGGAACGUGGUGGUGGUCUUCCCACCUGGCGAGAUGCCUAUUAUUCUCAAACGGAAGCGUGGCCGCCCUCCUAAGAACCUGCUGCUGGGUCCCGGCAAGCCCAAGGAGCCAGCUGUAGUGGCGGCCGAGGCAGCCACUGUGGCAGCGGCCGCCAUGGCCGUACCGGAAGUGAAGAAACGGCGGCGGCGGAAGCAGAAACUGGCAUCUCCCCAACCCUCCUACGCAGCAGACGCCAAUGACAGCAAGGCUGAGUACUCUGACGUCCUCGCCAAGCUGGCCUUCCUGAACCGCCAGAGCCAGUGUGCUGGGCGCUGCUCACCGCCCCGCUGCUGGACACCCAGUGAGCCUGAGUCAGUGCACCAGGCACCCGAUACCCAGAGCAUCUCCCACUUCCUGCACCGUGUGCAGGGCUUCCGGCGGCGUGGUGGCAAAGCAGGCGGUUUCGGCGGCCGGGGUGGGGGCCAUGCGGCCAAAGCAGCCCGAUGCUCCUUCAGUGACUUCUUUGAGGGCAUUGGCAAGAAAAAGAAGGUGGUGGCGGUGGCGGCUGCUGGGGUAGGGGGCCCUGGCCUCACCGAGUUGGGGCAUCCCCGCAAACGGGGCCGGGGAGAGGUAGACGCCUUGACUGGGAAGCCCAAGCGUAAGAGGCGGUCCCGGAAGAAUGGGACUCUGUUCCCAGAGCAGGUGCCCAGUGGACCAGGCUUUGGAGAGGCAGGCGCCGAGUGGCCUGGGGACAAGGGUGGUGGCUGGGCCCCUCAUCAUGGGCACCCAGGCGGGCAAGCUGGCCGAAACUGUGGGUUCCAGGGAACUGAGGCCCGCGCCUUUGCCUCCACUGGGCUAGAGAGUGGGGCUUCAGGCCGUGGCAGCUACUACAGCACGGGCACAACUGCUGGCCAGACUGAGCUCAGCCAGGAGCGCCAAAACCUUUUCACUGGCUAUUUUCGCUCCCUGCUUGAUUCGGAUGACUCCUCUGACCUCUUGGACUUCGCCCUUUCAGCCUCUCGCCCUGAGUCCCGCAAGGCAUCGGGCACUUAUGCAGGGCCCCCUACCAGUGCCCUGCCUGCCCAACGGGGCCUGGCCACCUUCCCUAGCCGGGGAGCCAAGGCCAGCCCAGUGGCAGUGGGCAGCAGUGGGGCGGGGGCAGACCCCUCCUUCCAGUCUGUCCUGCCCGCUCGCCAGACCUUCCCACCGGGUCGGGCAACGAGCUAUGGGAUAACCCCAGCCACUUCAGACUGCCGGGCAGCUGAGACCUUCCCGAAGCUGGCUCCCCCCGCUUCAGCUGUGGCCCGUUCACCUACCACCCACCCUCCUGCCAACACCUACACCCCACAGUAUAGUGGCUAUGGGGCUGGACAGAGUGUAUUCGCCCCCGCAAAACCCUUUACGGGCCAGGACUGUGCUAAUAGCAAGGAUUGUAGCUUUGCCUAUGGCAGCGGCAACAGCCUGCCUGCCUCACCCAGCAGCGCCCACAGUGCUGGCUAUGCCCCACCGCCUACCGGUGGCCCUUGCCUGCCACCAGGCAAGGCCUCUUUCUUCAACAGCUCUGAGGGGGCUGCCUUCUCUGGUUCAGCCCCCACCCCCCUGCGCUGUGACAGCCGGGCCAGCACCGUCUCGCCUGGUGGCUACAUGGUACCCAAGGGCACCACAGCCUCUGCCGCCUCUGCUGCUUCCUCCUCCUCUUCCUCCUUCCAGCCCUCACCUGAGAACUGUCGGCAGUUUGUGGGGGCGUCUCAGUGGCCUUUCCGGCAGGGCUACGGAGGCCUGGACUGGGCCUCAGAAGCCUUCAGUCAGCUCUACAAUCCCGGUUUCGACUGCCAUGUCAGCGAGCCCAACGUGAUCCUGGACAUCUCCAACUACACACCACAGAAGGUGAAGCAGCAGACGGCCGUGUCCGAGACCUUCUCGGAGUCGUCCUCCGACAGCACCCAGUUCAACCAGCCAGUCGGGGGCGGUUUUAGGCGUGCCAACAGUGAGGCCUCCAGCAGUGAGGGCCAGUCGAGCCUGUCCAGCCUGGAGAAACUCAUGAUGGACUGGAAUGAAGCAUCGUCUGCCCCCGGCUACAACUGGAACCAGAGCGUCCUUUUCCAGAGUAGCUCCAAGCCAGGCCGUGGACGGCGGAAGAAGGUCGACCUGUUUGAGGCCUCGCAUCUGGGCUUCCCCUCGUCCGCCUCAGCCACUGCCUCAGGCUACCCGUCCAAACGGAGCACAGGGCCCCGGCAGCCACGGGGGGGACGGGGCGGUGGGGCCUGCUCAGCCAAGAAGGAACGGGGCGGCGCAGCAGCCAAAGCCAAGUUCAUCCCCAAGCCACAGCCGGUCAACCCACUAUUCCAGGACAGUCCAGACCUUGGCCUGGACUACUACAGUGGGGACAGCAGCAUGUCACCACUGCCCUCACAGUCGAGGGCCUUUGGUGUGGGUGAGCGAGACCCCUGUGACUUCAUGGGGCCCUACUCCAUGAACCCGUCCACGCCCUCUGAUGGUACCUUUGGCCAAGGUUUCCAUUGUGACUCGCCCAGCCUGGGUGCCCCUGAACUGGAUGGCAAGCAUUUCCCACCACUGGCCCACCCGCCCACAGUGUUUGAUGCUGGCCUGCAGAAGGCAUAUUCACCCACCUGCUCACCCACACUGGGCUUCAAGGAAGAACUGCGGCCGCCACCCACAAAACUGGCUGCCUGUGAGUCCCUCAAGCACGGGCUCCAGGGGGCCAGCCUGGGCCAUGCAGCUGCAGCCCAGGCUCACCUGAGCUGCCGGGACCUGCCGCUGGGCCAGCCCCACUAUGAUUCCCCCAGCUGCAAGGGCACGGCAUAUUGGUACCCACCUGGCUCAGCUGCGCGUAGUCCACCCUAUGAAGGCAAGGUGGGUACAGGGCUGCUAGCUGACUUCCUGGGCAGGACGGAGGCUGCAUGCCUCAGUGCCCCACACCUGGCUAGCCCACCAGCCACGCCCAAGGCCGACAAGGAGCCACUGGAGAUGGGCCGGCCACCUGGCCCUCCUCGUGGCCCUGCUGCAGCCACUGCUGGCUAUGGCUGCCCGCUCCUUAGUGACUUGACCCUGUCCCCUGUGCCGAGGGACUCGCUGCUGCCCCUGCAGGAUACUGCCUACAGGUAUCCUGGCUUUAUGCCACAGGCACAUCCCGGCCUGGGUGGGGGCCCCAAGAGCGGCUUCCUGGGGCCCAUGGCGGAACCUCAUCCUGAGGACACAUUCACCGUCACCUCCCUGUAGUGCCAACUGAAGUGCCGACUGGACCUCGAGGUUUUGUUCCUGGGCCUGGACCUGAUGCCAAGAGAAAUGUCACAGGUCCUCCAAGGUUACACCCGCUGGGGCCUGACCAGAACAGGAAGCAGUUUCCAAGGCCACCAUCCAGCCAGGCUUUCAGAAAACCAACGCCAAGACCCCUCCCAGCGUCCACAUCGUCCUCUGGCAGGAGCGCCUGCCCCUCUGCCUCCCUCCCCACCUGCACCCCCCUGCAGCCCCCAUCUCCCCCUCACCCCUCCCUGCCCAUCUCCUCCACGCAGAAGCCCAAGGUGAGCCCUUUCUGCACAAAACCAGCAAUUGUAAAUACUUUUUAAAAAUGUACAAAACUUAAAAACAAAACACAGUUUUAGAAAAAGACAAAAAAAAAGAGAGAGCGAGCGAGAGAGCGAGCGUGUGCAAGAGGUUGCAAGCGGGGCCUCGAGGUGUCCAGAGCCCAGCAAGUAUGCACUGAGAAAUUUAUCUACAGGUCGUUUGACAAAAAUGAACAAUAUCCUAUUUAUUGUAUAUACUGUUUUAUUAUAAAUCGUGGAUUGUAUAUUGCAUUCUGUAAACCUGCUGUGGUCCCGUGGUGUGCAAAUUCGCAUGGUGGGGGGGAGGGAAAAGAACCUCUUGCGGGAGCUUUUUUUUUUCCUUUAUUUUUCACUCUUUUGGGUUUUCUCUUCUGUUGUUGUUGUUGUUUUCUGUUGGCAGGACACACCCAAAGAUCCAAGUUUGUAUUAAAAUGCAAUGAAAAAAAAAGAAAAAAAACA